CAAGGAAUAUAUCAAUAGGUAGAUUAUCUGCUUUGGGAGCAGGGGGUUGCGGGUUCAAAUCUCGCUUCCUUGA
rnacentral:tRNA from 1 species